UAGGUGGAUGGUCUACGGCCGUCCACAAGCUCAAAUGACCAUAUAUGGAGAAAAAGGCGGGACCAAACCAAAUAGGCUUGCAAUGCGCAUGCCCAAGCAAAACCGAUUUAACACCUGGCGCCGUGACCUGGAUGCAGAUUCUAAGCAGAUGGGCCAAAAUGGGGGCAGCUGGAGAGACUCGCCCGGAACUGACAAGCCUGGAGGAAGCUGGUUGACUGUUGGCGAGAUGGGACAACAGACGAAGAAUAAACGAACCUACUUGAUUUGAUAAACAUUUUUAUGUUUUUCAGUUUCGUCGGAAGACGUUUCCCAACAACCAUCCUGUCUUGAAAGAAAUAACUUUUGAACUCGAUUUUCUGGUAAU